rnacentral:misc_RNA from 1 species
GGGUAGUAAGCUACACUUAGUAAAGGCAAUCCUUUAUUUUCAGGUACCAGUUAAAAAACAUUGAAGCAUUUAACAUCAAGCUUCAAUAAUUCUGUGACACAUUCGUUAACUAGAUACAUUCGAGGAACAAAAUUAACGUUAGAGGAGGACUCUGAUCAUAACUUGAACUGAAAGGAACGAAAUACCCAGAUGAAACUUCAAAUUCGACGCAUAUAGAAAACUCCACUUGCUACUCAGUUCUCGAGAUCAAAACCAAUAAUGAAAGACUAA